rnacentral:tRNA from 1 species
GGGGGUGUAGCUCAGUGGUAGAGCACUAUGCUUAGCAUGCACGAGGUCCUGGGUUCAAUCCCCAGUACCUCCA